UCCCCAGACAGAUCAUCUCAACAUCUUCAGAGAUUUCACAUCAGCUGACACCAGUUUCCUCCAGAACAUCACUGACGCUGCCUGAACUGCUGCAGACUCUGAAGCAGCUGUAGGACCAGAGUAUCAGCCUUCACACCAAGUAAACCAGAGAACCACAACGCCAAGAGAAAUACAAGAUGUCUGCUCGUCGUAUUCCGUACACUGCAGGAAUGAGAUUAAGGAGAAGGAAAAUAUUCAAAGAUGAACACCUUAGAGACCAUCCUGAUACUCUUUUUUAUGACACUACAAAUGAUAAUGUAAUAUGUGACCUAAUUUUCUUUACUACUUUUGAAGAAGACUGGAUAGCUGCCAUAAUGCAGCACUACCCUAGGACUGAUAGAAUUCAACUGGAAGAUAAAAUCAAACUUGACCUCCACAG